GAGACCCCUUGCCGAACUCUUCCCGACUGGGCAACGAUUUUCCAGCUUCGCUAUCGCUGUAGCUUCAGCAGGGAAAGAGAUCUACUUCUAGCCGGUAAGGGGUUUUAAGAGGAACAUCCUCCUCA